UAAAGUUCUUGAGGUGCCUAAGAAAAGUAUUCAAGAAGAAAAAUCUCUUUCUGAAGACACAACGAUAUACAUUUAUGAAGUGUCUGAAGAAUCCACCACAGAAGAAAAAGUACUUGUGACUCAUCCUCCAAAGACGAAAACCAAAAUAGCAAAAGGUAUAUAAUACCAAUGAUCUAGUCUGAAGAAUAUUUAUUUAGGGCUCAUUUUAAAAGCUCAAUCUUCUCCUGUGCUGUUUAUAAAUAUAAUUAUACUCAUAUCUUUUAAGUGCCUGAGCCACCCAAGAAAGUUGUUCCAGAGGACAAAGUAUAUGUGACGAUUCCUAAAAAGAGAGAAACGCCAGCAACUAAAGGUACAUUUCAACAACAUCAAACUUGGAUGAAUAACUUUGGAUUCAAGACUCAAUAAUUGUGUGUUAUAUGAUUUACUGCCUUCACAACUUCUAAGUGUAAACCUAAUAAUAUUUUUAAAGAGCCUGAUACAACCAGAGAAGUUUUUCCAGAGGUGGAGUUACCUGAGGCUGUUCCCCAAAUUCCAGAGCAUCCUCCAACUGAAGGUAUAAUUCUUAGUUCUGAAAAUUUAAAGAGAAUCUUUCUUCUUCAGUCUGAAAAAUAUGUUUAGUGUUUUGUGUAGGUUCUCAGAACCCCUAACACUAAAAUACUAAUAUCUUUAGGGUCCCCAAUGUACCCAAGACAAGGAGCUUUCUAUGACUUGCCCCCUACCAAAAAAAAAAAAAGUCCCAUUCAUACUAUGUAUAAGGAUAAGCAAUUAGAACAAAAGUUAAAUUUCUAAUUUAAAGUUACAAUAUCUGUUAACAUACCUAACUUUUUAAAUAUGUGUGUCUUCAUGUCUUUGCCUUUCCUCAACUAAAAAAUACUAAUAUCUUUAAAGAGUUGGAAGUCUCCAAGGAAGGUCUUCCAGAGCAGCAAGCUCCUGUUGCUAAAAGAAGAAUACCAACAUCAAAAGGUACAAGCCAGAAGAAAGCUGACUUUCUUAUCUCGUGAUUGUAGUUGUACUUAAAACCUGUAAAUAUACUAAUAUCUUGAGAGCCCCAGAUGCUACGAAGGAAUAUCAUUGCAGAGAAGUGGGUCCCCCAAAGCAGAAGCUCAAGGGUGUAUACAUAUUCCCAUGAGCUAUUCAAGAGAAAAUAGAAGGAGGAAAAAAUCUUUAACGUAUCUAAAUGGAAGGUGCUUGGGCUAUAAAGUCUAACUAUGAUGUCUCCAGGGAAUAUAUGAAGACAUACAAUGUGUAGAUGUGACCCAGAUGGAUUCUUCAAUAGGAAAUAGCAGUUACUGUUCGAAAAAAAGGAAAAAAAAAAUCAGACUGGGGAAAAAAAAAAGCUAUACAAGACCACUUAAAACAUUUAUAUCCCUGAAACUAGGCCGAACUGGUUUAGCACUCCCCCCUUUAAAGCAGAACUCAGUGCCAUCAAAUGACAGAGGUGCUUGGCUGUACACUGUAAAUCAGUAAUUUAACUCUCCGUGGAGUUGAAAUUUCAGGAGAAACUAUAACUGCUUCUUGGAAUUGCCUUUCUAUAAAAAUAAAAUUACUACUAAACACAAACACAUGAAUGUGAAAAACUUAUUUUCCCAUAAGAAGUAAAUAUAGAAAUAUGCUCAGAAAACCAUGACUUAAAGAUAAUAAAAUAUUAAAUUCAACUUUGAGCAGUUCUUUUGAUCAUAGGGUCUCCACCUGAGAACCUUCCAGAAUUAAGCUAAUUAAAACUAGUUAACAUUGGAAUUCUGCAUGGAACACUUAGUUGUUCCUCUCAUUAUCUUUGAUUUUUUAGAGUCCUGCAUUUUUCCAUUUUGAAUGUUUUUAGGUAAAUCAAAAGAUGAGAAAGUUUUAAAACAUCCAGCUUAACAAUUUCUUUAUGAUAUCCAGGAUAUUCUGUAAUUUAAAGAAUAUCUGAACACUUUGACAUGAUUUUUUCAGUCUAGGAUCUCUGGGUCAUUCUCCUCUCUCCUAUACUUGAAAAACAAAUACUUACCCAAGGUAAGGGUAAAAUGAAGCCUAUCCAGACAAGAAAGAAGCUCUUAGGUUCUCCUCAAAUUAAAUAGCUAAAAGUACAUCAUUAAUUAUACAAGAUUAUUUUUUUUCACUUGAAGCUAAUUUUCCAUGAUAUCAUUUUCUAUACAACCACCAUUCUAAAAAAUAAAAUUCCUAAUAUCGAUAGUACCUGAGGUGACCAAGAAAAGAGCUCCUGAUAAUCAAGUACCCAUCCUAUCACUGAAGAAUCAGACACAGGGAACAGGAAUGUCUCCCCGUCUGGGGCAUUCCUGUAGGUGGAGUUAGGACUAAAAGUCUUCUACACUCUGAAGAACAAAGUGUUAAUAUCUUUAAAGGACAGGAAAUUGUCCCUUUAAGGAAAACACACAUGGCUGCUCCCCCUGAAAUUGAAACACCUUCUAGUAAAGGUACCCAUCAUUCUAUCAUUCCCGCCUUCAUUCAUUAAAUAAAUGCCAAUUAUGUGUGUGGGGCUAGGGAGCUGAGGAAUAAUAAACAAAGACAAUUAGGAUUUGAUUCCUUUUUCAAAGCUUUAUACAUCAUCCAGUUUUUAACAGAAGCACCCUUGGAGCCAGAAAUGCCACUUUGGUGUAGUUAAUGUAACUAACAUCUUCACUGAUGCCUUAACCUCUAAGCUUGAUACUAAUAUCUUCAAAGUCCCAGAAACUAUGAAAGAAGUUGCUUCCGAAAUGCAAGUAUCUGAGGAUUUUCCUAAGGAGCCAGAACCUCUGCCUAUAAAAGGUGUGUGAUACCUGUGAACUGGAGAAAUGAUCUGUCCUCUGCUCUUACAACUAUGCUUUUCGAGUGUUCUUCGUAACACCUAAAUGUAAACGUACUAAUAUCUUCCAAACACCUGAAGUUGCACAAGAAAUUCCCUCUUGAGAAAAUACUUGUGGGUGUUCCUAUUUAAACAGAAACCCCCUCUAAUAAAAGUAUUCAUUCAACAAAUGCUUAGUAAGGAAGGUCCACAGUGUCACAGGAACUAAGCCAAGUGCCGGUGAAGGGUGGGCAGCCCCUCUUCCUGAGGGUCCCACGAGCCCCCAAGCUUAUUUGAUGGGUGGAGCAAGGGGAGAAGAGACAGGCAGAGAAGAGACCUCUAGAAAACUACACUUGCCCACUUAUUGGGUUUACUGUUUUCACUAAUCCUUUUAUAUCUUAAAUGUGAAAUACUAAUAUCUUUGAAGUGCCUGAAGCUCCUCAAGAAGUUGUUCCUGCAAAGAGAGCUCCUUUCAAAGAAAGAGAACGUCCUUCAGUUGAAGUGCUGGAAGCUCCCCAAGAAAUUGUCCCUGAAAAGAAAACAUAUGUGAUUCCUCACAAAAAGCCUGAAAUUCCUCGUGAUGAAGGUAUAUGUUGCUGGGAGCUUAGAAAUUUGGGGAAAUGUCUUCUUCUGUAUGAAUAUGUUUCUUGUCUGUACAGAUUCUUCUAACCCCUAAAUGUAAAAAUAUUAAUAUCUUUAAAGUGCCAGAGGCACCUAGAGAAGUUGUCUCAGAAAGGAAAGUGCAUC